UUUUUUUUUUUUUUGGUGUGUGAAAGUUAUCGAAUAUAAUUUUAAUUUUUUCAUAAUAAAAGAGAUAAUUUAUUUAGUGUACAAUCACCAUAUCAAACAAAUGGGUUUUCUAUUUAAACUUUUUUUUUUGUUUUUUUAUGAUUUUGUUUUUGUAGUGAUUAUUUUUACCUUUGUCGCAUAUACCAAAAAAUAAUUGUUAAAUUAUUAACAAGUUAAAAUCAGUCAUGAUUUAGAAUUUCAAACUAAAAGUAGUUAGUUUGUUACUAUCUAAACAUGAGCCUGUAAGCCAAAUCUCGUAAAGUUUAAUAUGAGAGAACAAUGAAACUAUAUUUCUCCCAAUAUGAAACCAUAGCAUUUGAUUCUAUCUCACUUGUUUAUUAUUGAUUUGAUAUUGGUGAUUCAUCUAAAUCACUUACCAACAAUACUUCCAAAAUAGUGCUGAUUUGAGAAGCAUAUUGCAUUUAUGUUGUGUAUCAGUGGUGCCAUCAAAUUCACUUUUGAUGAGGACAUGUUUUGGGGAUAUGGUUUGAACAUGUAAUGUCAAAGACUUCAACAACGAGAAAAAGAUGCUAAAGUUGACUCAUGAUGAAAGACACAUUGUUAAUGGUUCAACCCUUAUCAAAGAUAUCAUAAGAGAAUACAUUUGUCCUCAUCUAUUGAUAGAAUUCCUCAUAAAUGAUUAAAUUCCACAUAUAUUGAGUUUUAGUAUAAGAAUUUCUGGUGAGUUUAGUGUUAUUAAGAAUACUAGAAACACAUAGAUAUAAUGUCUAUCGAAUCCUUACUAAACAUAUCAGAAUCAAAAGAGAACAUAUUUGUUUGUAUCUAUCGAUAAAAUUCCUCAGGGAUUGAUGAUGAUUAAAAUCAACAUAUAUUGAGUCUUAUCAUAAGAAUUACUGGUUGGAGGUUAUAGUCAUUAAGAAAACGGGAAACACAUAAAUAUGGUAUUUUUGGACAAUUUUUGUACAUUUUUACUGUUUUAUUGUAUGUUUUUCUUUACUUUAAGUUUUUGUAUGAUAAGUUUUUUCUUAAUAUAUUUUGAGUCCUUUCUUCUCUUUUAGAUAUUAUUUUUUUCUCUAGUUUAACAAUAUAACUAUGUGUUUUUUGUUUUCAAUUUGGGAAAUGCUAUUAGAAACAAUGAAGAUAUCUCAACCUUAGUUGAUAUUUCCAGUAUUAACAAUUUGAGGGGACCGAUGUUCAAAAAAUCUGACGAAAAUGAUGGAGAUUGAAGGCAUAAUUAGUGAGUAUGAAGAUGGUAAUCAUAGAUAAACAAAAGUCUGAUAUUUUUUGGUAUUUAUCUAAAAAAACUUAGGGUUUACUUUUAUAUUUUAUAGAUGUUGUUUCUAUGUCUUGCGGUCGUAAUUGACCAACAUAUCUGUUAAAGGAGUCAUUUGGUUCCACAUAUUAUGUGAGAUAUGAUAUAUAUAUAUAUAUUUGAAAAAUAUAUAUAUAUAUAUAAUUAUCAUAUAAAUUUCUGUUUCUUAACUUUUAAACGCAAUUUAUUACUACCAAAUUGUGUACCUUUUUUUUUCAGUAAUUAUAUACCUUAUUUAUUCCUUCCUUGUAAAUAUGAAUGCUUUUAAUUCUUUUUGCGAUGGACAAAUUAUUCAUUUUUUAUUUUUUAUAGUUAUACAUAUACAUGUAAAAAUUCUUUAAUUUUAUUUUAUGUUGUCUUCUACUCUUAUGCACAACAGAUAAAUUAGGUCCAUUAUUACACGAACAUACUUAUAUGCACUUGCUUUUUAGUUAAAUUACUAAAAAGAUUUUUUUUUUCCUUUCUGGUAAACCCUAUAAAUAAAUGAUAUAAUAAGUCCUCAUAAAAAAUUACUAGACCUCAAUGUAGAAAAAUUUACCAAUUGAUGGAAAAGAAAAAACUGAGAGAGGAUAGUACUAAUAUUUUCAUGAUUCUAAAUGGACCAACAUCGAAAUCUUUUCCAACCACUUUUACGACUCCAACAUCACUUAUUCUAACACCGAUCAAAUGUUCUACAUGCUAACUAAAGGAGGAUACUCAAUCUACCCAAGUACUAGAUACCCCCUCGGUCCUAGGCUAAAUUCAAGUUUGUUUUGGGUUUCUGUUUCAGUAGAUCAAGAUGCAUCAAGCUUCACAUAAACAAGUGGGUGUAGCUCUAUUUGCAUUUGUUGAAGGAGUAAAUGAUUUUCACAAGAAGCUCUUUUGGCUGUUGAUGGUAUUUAUGUAGUAAUGGUUAUAUGAAUAUCGUGUUUGAUUUUUUUUUUUUUUUAACUUUAGGAAGAUUCAACUCCAGGAAACUUCUAAGCUCGUCAGUCAGUCAUAACUACUGCCACAAAAAAAGAUCAAUUAUAUAUAAUCAGAACCUUCAAAUCAGAAAUCAGAACACAGUCAACCAUAAAUUGAAGCUUUUUCUAUAUACGUAACAAAUUUUCAAAUGAAGUAAAAACAAGGAGGGGUUUCAACUUUCAACAUCAAUAACGAAGUCACGAUUGACGAUCAUCAAAUUCUUUCAACACAUCAAAAUCUGUUAUUGAAUCCAAGUGAAAUACUGUAUGUUUUUCCAACCAACGAAGAAAUACAUAUACAAAGGUCUAUAGUAGAUAAGAGGAAACAUUGUCAUCUCCCCUCAUUGAUCUUGAGUCCAAGCAUUGGCUUAAAGUCCCCGUCUUUGGGCGUCACAAAGCUCGUGGAGUAGGACGAAGAAGAAGCGCUUGUGUCUUUAGUUUGAAAGGCGCUGAAAGAAGAGCUUGAGGUGUUAUCAAAACUCCAGUCAGUUAGGUAGCCUGGCUUGCAAGUUACAUCAUUGACCUCAACAUCUCCUGAAAGCAUGGCUACCACUCUUGACAUCGGUGGUCUCAAGGCAUAAGAUGCUUGAAUGCACAGCAGAGCAAUGCCUAUCAUGCGUUUCACUUCUUCUAUGUUGAACUCCAUCAACUUAUGAUCGAUUAGUUCAGCUUCACGGCUUUUCUCGUGUAGAUUCCAUGCCUAUAUACACCAAGAUUAUAUCGGCUUAUACCAUUUCUAAUCAAAACGUAUAUAACUAACAAGGACUUACCCAUUCAACAAGAUAUUUUCUUUCAUCAUCCAGGCUCCAAUCAGAGUUUGGUCUUCCACUCACUAGCUCAAGAAUCACAAUACCAAAGGCAUACACAUCUGUUUUCUCUGAUAAGUGUCCACGCAUGGCAUACUCUGGCGCAAGAUAUCCACUACAUUGGUUCCCCAAUCAUGUGUUAUAAACUCCAUAGUAUUAUUGCAAAAGUAGAAAAAAGUUAAAAGGGUUUGGGGAUACGUACAUGGUCCCUGCCACUUUGGUACUCAUAUGGGUUUUAUUGUCAUCGUAUAGCCUUGCAAGCCCAAAAUCUGAAACUUUUGGGAGCAGCUUAGAGUCAAGCAAAAUAUUGCUAGCCUUCACAUCCCUGUGUACUAUGCGAACACUCCCAUCCUCAUGGAGGUAGGCUAGACCUCUGGCUACUCCCAUGCAUAUCUCAAAACGGGUUGACCAAUCAAGAUGUAAAGUGUUUUCACCUCCUGCAACAUCCAAAUCAGCUUGGUGUAAAAUAUAUAAGAUACAUAACUAAUCUUUCUGUUCGUUACCAAAUAGUGCUUGGUCGAGACUUCCAUUUGGUAGGUACUCAUAUACGAGCAAACGAUGAUCUCCUUCAUAGCAGCAUCCGUAAAGUUUUACUAGGUUGCGAUGCAGAACUGCAGAAAUUGUUACGAUUUCUGCAACAAAUUGUCUUUUCCCAUGUCGGGAUCCAACAGACAACACUUUCACCGCGAUCUCUCUUCCAUCACUCAGGUUUCCCUGUCAAUAUGUGUUAAAUCAUAACAAAAGCAAACAAGUGCAUUUUGUUAAUUUUUGAUAUGGCGCUUACCUUAUAAACAGACCCAAAUCCUCCCUCUCCAAGCUUGUUUGAGGGAUUGAAAUCUUGAGUGGCACUCUUAAGUUCAGAGUAUGCAAAAGUGUAAGGCUUUACGUCCAUACCAAGCAGCUCUGCAACAAAACAAAAAUAUAUAUGAACCAAUAUGAAAGAAUAUAUUCAAGAUCAAUGGCUUGUUUAUGUAGUUAUGACAUCUAUAUAUACCUUCAUCAUCUGUAUAACGUUUCCUGCUUCUUAGAAUGAUGAAGAUAAAAACGCCUACUAAGAUGCUCAAAAGUCCUAGGCCAACAAUAGCACCCACAACAAUACUAGUCCUAUACUUUUUCUUUGAUGGUGGCUUGUUAGCUACAGUUGGUGUAAAAUCUGAACAACAACAAUAUGUAAGCAAAAGAAGAAAGAAACAAAAAAAUUCAAGCAAAAGAAGAAAAAAAAAGAAUUAGCUAGCUGUUGUGAUACCUGGUUUUGCACUGACGGCAGAUAUUAGUGGCCCGUAAACACCUAGAAUAGGAACACUAAUUGUUCCUUUGCCAGCCCAUAAAAGAUGAACUUCAAGGUAAUUUUCUGAUACAUUUGCUUUAUAUUCUUUCUGAACUGUUCCAACAACAGUAUUUUCACCAGCUGUUUUGCGUAUAUCAAAGUCCUUUUCAACAAGUCUUCCCUGGAAAACACAGAGUUAGGUCUCAGAAUUCAACAAGAAGAUUAUUAUUACACCAAACAAAGUUAACUUGUAAAAGCGGGUAGGGCAGACCUGGACAUAAAUGUCAAAACAUCGUCUUCCUAGACCUUUCCAAGAGUUAGGAUCAAGAAUUUUUAUUUCAGCAAAGUGAAGUGUUACGGUAUAGCCUCCAUUUUCUAGCCCCAACCCAUAAUACCGUAGUGAAGAUGAAGAAUGUCUUGCUGACUGAAAAAGCUCUGCGUCUACAGUGUUGAUAACCCAUACAUUAUUGAUUCUCUCGGCAAAAAGUCCAACACUACUGGCUGCCCAUCUCUGAACAUCGUUCACGAAAAAUGAAGCUGCUCCAAGAUUCUCGUCCUCUCUCUCAAAUACUGCUCCGUUUACAGACUGUAUUUGUGGGCCUCCGCAGUUUAUUGAAAAAUCAGAAUCUAAACAUCAGCCAAUAAAAAAAAAAAAACACUUUAAGAAAAUGUGUUUUCUUUCCAACAAGAAUAUACAAGCACAACGGUUAUGAUGAUGUCUCUUUGUCACACUAACAGAUUCCUUUGCCUCGAUUGCAGGGGAAAUUCUUCUGCAGGCACUUCAGUCCUGGUAAAAUCCUUUAUUCACAAAUGAAAAUAUAUUUAACAAGAAGAAAACAAGAUGAAAGUGGAAUUUCAGGCACCAACAAGAAUCAUAUUUGAUAAAAAUCACCUCUUGUCCAGACCUUCCAAGAUGAAGUUGUUAGCAACAAGGUUGCUGCACCAAUUACAUAUAGUUUUGUUAUGAUUCUAAUAAAUAAUUUGAUAUAAAAAUAUCUGACAUUGAAGUACACCGUGAAUAUAUAUAUAAGUACUAUAGAUAUAGUGAUUACUUUACUUACAGUUUCAAGUUUGGUAAGCUGACCCAUGAAGGAAGACUACCAGACAAAUCAUUGUACGAAACAUCUCUGGAAGAAUAAAAGAAGAAUGAUUAGGAUCUACAAGAAAUGAAAUAUAUUCCAAAACAGUUAUCUGAUUAUAUAUCUUGUACAAAAGUUGAGUCUAUAUCAUGAAUUUGUAGCUUUCAAAAGAUGAUCAAUUUUAAAGGACUUUGUAACUCACAUAUUGCUCAAAGUCUCAAUCUUUUGAGUGGGCAAAGAACCAUUCAACGUGUUGUUCCCCAAAAACCUAAUAUGAAGACAACAAUUUUUUUUUUCAUUUGGUAGAUAUGAACAUUAUAGACCUAAAAGAAGUAGAAAACUUACAAGUGAGUAAGUUGGUUUAAGUUGAAAAGUGAAGCCGGAAUUGGUCCAUGCAGUUUGUUGAAACUUAAAUCACUGGAAAACAGAGAUGUACAAAUUACACGGUAACAAAUUAACUUCAAUGAAUGAGGAAAAAUGAGAAAUAAUAAUAUCAAAAAUGCAUGAUAACAGAUCAUAUCACUCAUUUUACAGAUUAGCUAGAUGUAUGUUGAACUUACACUUUUGUCAGAUUUGAGUAUUCCCCGAUGUUAAAGGGUAUUGUCCCAGUGAGAUUGCUGUUCCUCAAUUCUCUGCGACACAUUUAUCAAUGCUAGUCAAUUAAAUACACGUAAGAAGGAGAGGGAAUUAUAUAGUUCAUGAAUUGGAGUAGAAUUGUUGCCUUACAAUAUACUUAGAGAUUUCAUUUCUUUAAUGAAUUCAAGAGAAGAGCUUCCAUUGGAUAUAUCACCAAGCCUCCUACAUUUAGGAUAGAAUUAUGUCGAGGAGAGAGGGAAAGACAGAGAAAACAGUAAACAAGGAAUUAUUCUGAAAACAAUGCAACAACACAUACAAUUCUUUAAGAGAAGUUAAGUUGGAAAAUGACGACGGUAUCGGACCACUCAAACCAGUUCCGAAAAUUGUCCUGUAGCAAAACAUGAUAGCAAUCGCUGAAUAUCAAAGUUUAAAUGUCAUGAAAAAUUUUCCACUAAGAGUAAAAAUUACGAUAAAGUAAAUCUAAAAACAAGAGCAAUGUAACAAAUACAUUAGAUAUAUAUAACCCUGCAAAAAAAAUGAAAUCAUUCUUACAAGAUCGUAAGUUUGGUCCAUUUUCCUAUAAAUUCGGGUAUCCGACCAGUAAGGUCCAUAUUGUGAAUCCAACUGUUGCAAACAGUAAGGAAAAAAUCACCUCAUGGAAAAACGAAGAAAGAAUGUGAAGUAAUAUCAACAGAUUACAAAAAUGUAGAAAUCCAACGGUAUAACUAAAUGAUAUUCGAAUUAAUUAAAAAAUAAAAUCUUACGCGUCCUCCAACUCUACAAGAUUAGCAAAUGAUAAAGGUAUUCCCCCUGUAAGUCCAGAAUCUCCUAGGUAGCUGCAAAAAAUUGUAAAAAAUGCUUACAACACUAGACGAUGAUUUUGAAAGAAUAUUAAUUAAGUUCUCAUAUUUGAAUUAAAACACUGCAGAAAUGAAUACAUGAAAAUAAUUUAAUUUGUUAUACUCACAAUUUCAGUAGUUUCUUACAAUUCCCAAUCUCAGCUGGUAUAGAACCAGAAAAGUUAUUUAGACCAAUACCACUGCAUGCAUGCAGAAAAUAUAUACAAAAUAGGUUGAAUAAUAAGGAAAUAUCAAAAUCUGACAUAUAUUUAUGAUAUUUGUUUUUAAUAAGAAUGAAUGAAGAAGAAGAAGCAUAAUUAAUUACAGCGAUUUCAAUUCUGUAAGCAAACCAAUUUCCUUGGGAAAGGGGCCAGACAGGGCAUUGACCCCAAAAGUUCUACAGUAGUUAAGAAACAGUUGGAGCGUGAGUGACAAGAAAGAGAGAUUACAAAAAAAAAAAAAAGAAGAAGAACGUUUCAUUCAAUCAACAGCCAUACAGCCAUUCCAUUCGAAUCAAAUUUCCAAUUGCAGGAGAAAUGGAGCCUGUAAGCAAAUUUCGAGCCAGGUUCCUAAAAAGAAGGAGGCAUGUGAUUUUUUUGAAUAAUUAGGAGUUUUGGAGCCAAAGUCAGUCUUAAUGAUGAUAAAGAAAAAGAAUAAAGAAAAACGUAAAAAAUUAAAGUCUAUACAGGUUGAUGAGGUAGGUCAAAUUCCAAAGCUGUGGAGGUAUAGGUCCUGCAACAUCUUUCUCAUAAAUCUUGCUGUGGAAGUGAAAGAACAACAUGGCAACAUUCAGUGGGUUAAUUCACAAAUUCAGACAAAAUAAAGAGAGAGAGAGAGAGAGAGAGCCAGAGAGGAUGUACUGUACAGGGCGAUGAUGCGGCACUUUGUGAAGUUGGCGAAACUGCAAUCGCAUUUGAUAAAAGGGUUGUAGUUUUCAUCGUCGAUGACGAUGUCCUUGUUGAUGGCGGCGCCGGAGCAAAGUUCGCCGCUGAUGUUCCAAUGUUCCCCCGCCUGUAUCUUCCAAGCCGCGAAGAUGGAGUUCAAAGCUCGCGCUGUUGUUUAUUCCCACAACAAAAACGUCAGACGUCAGUUUAUUUAAACCAAACAACUUGUAGUUAAGUUGUUUCGAAAACAGAGUAGAGAGACCAUCUUCGGGAUGAGUAGUGGCUCCGGUUCGGUUUUGAGCUUGAACCAGAUGAACCGAACCAGGAAUACACAAAAGGAACCAGACGGUGAGGAGCAGAUACGUGGGCAUCGUCGACGUCGGAGGUUCGUACUCUCUUUUUAUUUUUUUGGUUCACAACAACGGUCUGUCUAUCUUACUACAAGUAGAACUAAGCGUCUCCUUAAAUGCUGUCUUAAAUUUAUUUGUUUUCUUAAAUUAUCUUUAGAAUUAACUUAGAGCAUCCUCAACACUGUCUUUUAGAGCAUGUCCAUUGCUGAACCCCUCAAUGGGGUUCACUAAAAAUUAAAAUUAAUUUUAAAAAAAAAAAAUUGUGGGAAGAACUCAGGUGUGUUGUGGUUCCAGUAGUAAACCCAAAAAUGGGUUCAUCCGGAAUUUUUUUUUUUGAAAUUAAACUUAUUAAAAGAAAUAAAUUUAAACACACCAUUACUAAAAAAAUGAAAUAUAAUUUAUUACUUAUAAUUUUAAACACGGCUAAAAAAGAAAAAAAAAUGUAUUACAAGAAAAUUAAAAACAUAGAACAUUUGAAAUAUAGAAAUACUUAAAUCAUUUAAGAAGUACCAAAUUUAUUCCAGAUAUUUUCGAUUAAAUCCGCUUUCAAUCGUUCAUGUAUCUCGUUGUCACGGACUUCGUUUCGUUUCGCCAUCAUCAAAUUUGAGAUAUUUGUAGGCCUAGUAGUAGAAUACGUCAUAUCGACAUGUGAAUUUUCGCUUCUUUCUGCUUGUUGGAAUUCUUCUAAAUUGGAUAGAUUGUAGCGAUUUCGUUCGUUUUCUACUAUCAUAUUGUGUAAUAUAAUAGAGGCCCGCAUAAUCUUGCCAAUCUUUUCUUUAUCCUAAAAAAGAGCUAGAUUUUUAAUUAUUGCAAAGCUUGCAGAACGCCAAAAGCACGCUCAACAUCUUUUCGGACGGAUUCUUGAGCUGUUGCGAAUAACUUAUUUUUGGGUCCUUGAGGAAGAUGAAUCGAUUCUAUAAAUGUUGCCCACUUGGGAUAAAUAUCGUCUGUGAGAUAGUAUGACAAACAGUACUCGUUACCGUUUACCCAAUAUCUCACUUUUGGAGCUCGACCAUGCAAGAUGUCAUCAAAAACUGGUGAACGAUCAAGAACGUUAAUAUCAUUUAACGUACCUGGAGGUCCAAAAAAUGCGUGCCAUAUCCAAAGAUCUUUGGAUGCUACUGCUUCAUUGUCGAUUUUCCUGAUCCGCGUGUAUAUUGUCCUUUCCAUACGAUAGGACAAUUCUUCCAUUCCCAAUGCAUACAAUAGAUGCUUCCUAUCAUCUCUGGAAAGCCCCGGGACUCUCCAAUGUCCAGUAAGCGUCGUAGAUCAUCAUCAGCUGUGGGUCUUCUCAAAUACUCAUCCCCAAACAAGGAUAUUAUACCCUCAGUGAAAUUUUCCAAGCAUAACAAUGCCAUACUAGCACCGAGCCGGAGAUAUUCGUCAACUGCAUCAGCUGCGGUACCAUAUGCCAUCAUACGAAUUGCUGCCGUAUAUUUUUGUAGAGGAGAUAGACCUAAUCUUCCGAUGGCAUUUCUUCUUUGUUGAAAGUACGGAACUUCUGUGGAGAGGCGCUGAACAAUAUGCAUGAACAAAUCCUUGGUCAUUCUAAAACGGCGUUGGAAAAUAUGUGGUGGAUAGGUUGCAUCAUCACUGAAAUAGUCAUUCCAUAACCGAUUGUGACCUUGUUCCCUCUCUCUUUCAAUAUAUGCUCUCUUUUUUUUUCUUUUUUUCCGCAAGCUGAUUAAGAAUAGAAUCGAAUUUGGCAUCAAACCUCUGAUCGAACAUAUCAUCAAAUGCAUCAUCAAUUGCAUCAUCAUUUGAAUCUUCCCAUCCAUUGCUAGAAGAUGCUGCCAUAUUUUUGGUGUUUUUAUGUAUGUGAUAAGAAAUAAAUUGAUGAAAAGUUUGAGCCAAAAUAAGAAUUCGACCAAGUAAUAGUUUAAAAGCUUUUCUUGUGUUUGAUGAAGAGGUUUGUGUUUAGAUGAGAAAGAUGUUGACAAAGAGUCGUCCAAAAAAAAAGAGUUGAGAGCAAUAUGAGACAGAAAGAAGAUUGCAACUAUGAAAUAACGUACAAGUGUUAAGUCUAAUAUAAAUACACGGGUGAAUGUUACAAUAUGUGGCUACAAAGAUAGUUGUGAACAUAUGGUCUCUAUUACAUAAGAAAAUAAGCGGUGAGUUGAGAAUACAACAAAAGCAUUUGGCCCCUCCAAUAUUGGUCACGGACGUGUCAGCCAACUUGUACUGACCAAGUGGCUGUGACACAACCUGCAAAGAUACGUAAAUACGUCAGUAAAGAAACGUAAAGAAACGUAAGCUAUAUGUGGAUGUAAUUCACAGAAAGUAAAUGGAACAACGAGGCAACAUAGAAAUAAACCAAAGCUAUACAGAACCAAGUCUGUAUUUGAAAUAUAGCCAAACAAGAGAAAAAUGGCAUACUUCAAAUUUCAUAUAUCUAAAGCCCGAACAUAUAUAGAAAUAAGCCAAAAACCCAUAGCAUAACAAAGUUCAUAAUUAAAAUAACAUACAAACCGAAGUUCAAUACAAAGUAUCAUCAAACAAAGUGCAUAACAAAAACCAUCCUAAACAAAAGAAACUAAACAUACAAAUUUCAUAGUUCAUACCUAAAGGCCAUACAUAGCACUAAUUAACUUGUUUUUCAGGUUUAUUUUAAUAUCAGUAAGUGGUUCUGACUUUUCCAAAAGGCUCUCAAGAAUCCUCUUGUCCCUAAUCUUAUCUUUCAACUCUAGAUCUUUUUGUUUCAUUUCCCACAUGGAAGAGAACUCCUUCAUGUCCUUGUUCUUGGGCUUAACACGUGAUGCCUUUGCGUUGGCCUUCGAUGCCUUGACUCCUGGUGGACGAACCUCGACUACAUCUUCAUUAUCGCCUGCAGGUAUGGUGGUUGAGGACUGAGCCGAGUCCUCAACCUUUCUUCUUUUCAUCGACGUCACAUCUUGGCUACUCGUGCACCAUUUUUGGUCGUGCCUCAACUCUCGCCAGGCAUGUUCGAAGGCAAACUUUAUGGAGUAAUCAUUAAAGAAUAUCUCAUGUGCAAGCUUCAUCACAUCGUUUUCAUUCUGACCGCUUGAUUUCUCCUUCAGCGCAGCCGAGUAUGAUUCCACAAACUUGCACACCUGAUCAUUUAUACGCCCCCAGCGUUGCUUAUACUGAGACCACUGUCUCCUUGGCAGUCCUUCAAUAUCUUGGCUUGCGUUGUAGUAUAACUGAAUCCGCUUCCAGAACGAUCCUAAAUGCUGUUCAUUACCGACUAUCGGGUCCUUCGAAGUGUUGAGCCACGCGCUUAUGAGGACCAAGUCUUCCUUCGGCGACCAGAUUUUCCUCUUCAGCGCAGUAUCAGGAGGAUCAUCAGAUCCUUGUGUACUAAACAAAGGAAUGUCUGAUGAUCCAACUAAAUCUAUGCAAGGCGAGUACGAUUCAGGGUUCAACUGACUGGUUAAAAGGUUGACAAACCCUUCCGAGUGGGUAAAAGAGUUCUGAGAAUCCAUAAAAAGAUUCAAAGCUACGAAAGGGAGUGAAAGAAAGAAAGAGUGGAUGAGAGUAAAAGAAAGAAGAAAGUUACAGAAAUUGAACAAUGUAAACAAAAAAAGAGAGUGAAAAGAGUGACCGAGUGUUUUUAAAGAGUGAGGAAAGAGUUAAAGAGUGAGGAAAGAGUUAAAGAGAGAGGAAAGAAAGAGUGAGUCAAAGAUAGUCUUUUAUAUUUAAAAUUAUGGUUGAGUAUCUUUUAAAUUAUGGUUGACAGUCUUUUCUGUGUCUUUAAGGGUGAGUCUCUGUUAGUUUUAAUGACAUAGUAGGUGAGAGUCUUUUAAUCAGGGUUUUCAAGUUCUCGGAAAAAUUGUAAAUAAGUUUGAACAGGUUUAACUACCAUUUAUCACACAACCUAAACCUAACAUGUCAUAUCAAGCAUUCAUAACCACUCUUAAAGCUAACAACACCAAUGUACCAUUUUACCAACUACAUUAAACACAACGAGGCUAGUUACAAGAGAACGUUUUUACUGGGUGAGCCGCAUGCCUUAAAGUAAACCAUGAUCCGUUGAAGUCCAUUAAACGUUAUCCUCACAAAAAAAAAGAUUAAAAGACCCCAUUAAAACAAGUACAUUACUACAGCCGAAUGCAACUAAACAUAACCCUAAACAACUACAAUACAUGAGCCAUCCCUAAACCCUAAAGAUAUACGCAAUAGCCGCAAUAACACUAAUGUAAAUCAGCAUCGACAAACGGUCACCUGGAGUACCAAGCUGCUCCUUCAAACUCCGCACUUCUCCCUGAAGCCUUGCUAGCUCUUCACGGAGUUCUCCUAUUGCCUGAGGAUCAGGGCUUUCUAGCUAUUCAGUGUUGAUUCUACCCCGAUCAACACUGAGGAUCAGGUCCUUCUGGUUUUCUAUCCUGGUCGCGAGAAUCUCGCACUGUUCUGUAACUGCGUCGUCCCACCAUUGGUGCAUGUGAUCAAAAGUGCCCUACAUUGAUGACAAACUGUUAGCAAAUAAUAAUGCAUGAACUCGUUGAACUUCAAACCCGAAUAAAUGAAGACCUGAGGAAGACAGAAAGAUCACCUCGUUUAUCCAUUCCGGGCAAGCAUAAUACUUGCGACUGACUUUGUUUGCUUUGAGCUUGAUUACUCGGCCACAGAAACACUUCUCGGGUAUGCCGUAAGUCGUAUCCGCGUAAGCCCAGUAGGGGACCUCCUCCUCUGAAGAACCACUGCUGUAGCUUGGCAUUAUCUGUCAACAAAAAAAUUUACGAUCAGUCAGCUACAACAUAAACAUACACAUGUGAACAUCAAGCAUGAAAACAAAGAUAUUACCAAGUAGUCUACACUACAGAUCAUGUAAACAUCAAGAAAAUUUUAGUUCAUAAUCGACAAUGGCAAACAUAUAUAAGAUGAUCAUAUCAUAUCAUAUAAAUCUAACAUGAUACAUGAUAAACCAUCCAAGCAUAUUUACCCGAUGAAACAUAAUCAUCUUCGACAAUGGCAUUCAACUCACAUAUGCAACACAUAAAUCAACAAAGAUUAAGAUCAGUACGCAACAACCUAAACAUACACUUGAAACAAAGUUAUUAUCAACUAAUAAUAAUGCAUGAAAACAACCUAAACUACCGAUCAUGAAAACAAAGUUAUGAUCAACUAACACUACAGUUGGGUUCAUCAUCGAUAAUGGCAACCAUCUUCAAACAUCUACUAACAUAUUAAACAUCCAAGCAUAUGAACCCGAUCAGUCAUAAUCAUCUUCAAACAUAUUCAACACACAAAUCAACAAAUUGCAAAAACCCUAAUUUCAUCGAUAAAAAAUUCAACAAGUCAAUCAUAUACCGUGAAAUCGUAUGCCAAAUAGGGCUACAGCGGUUCAAAAUCAAUGUAUUACACCCAAUUAGACCCCAAUUGCAACAAAAAAUGAAAGCCCCAAAUUUCCCCCAAAUUACAUAAACCCUAAAAUUUCAUCGAUGUAAAUUUUGUUUCGAAUCUUCCAAAUACAAGACGCAUAAUCUAUUCUCGGGUUUCAAAUAGGUGUCGGGACUCGUAAUCCACCCUAUUCCCCCCCCCCCAAAAACACCGAUUAACCAAAAACAAAAAUUUUCCCCAAAAAAUCGCUAACCCUAAUUUCUUGAAAUUAAUCGAAACGAAUCGAAACGAAAACAGCUGAAAGAUGAUAACAGAAGUUUACCUUGACAAUAUGAACGGUUGCGCGAUUCUCGGAUGAGCACUUCACCGGGAAAUUUUUCCGGUUUCGACGGAUGGGUGAGAGUCGACGAUAAUCGCGUGGAGAAGGGAAACGGAGAAAAAAAACUCGGGAAAAAAUGAAUUUUUGGCCCUCCAUUUUUUUCCUUCCCGAAAAUUACUCCAAUCCGUCGUCCACUCACGUCACGCCAUGUCGAUAAGAGGCGGGUUCAUCAGGAUCGUCCGGAUGAACUGAUCCGUCGAUUUUGGGUUUUAAUUCUAUUUUUUUAAACCCAUUAAAUUCUAUGAACUCGAGCCUCAUUCUUUCGACGAUCCUGCGAUGGACAUGUUCUUAAGCGUUUUUAACAGAAAUUGAUUAAUAUAAAAAUUGAAAUGGAUUUGGUUAAAUACAAAAACCUUUCUUAUUUGGAGACAAUUAAAAAUGUUUUUUUCUGCCACAUGUCAGUUUUUGAUUGGUCAGAAAAAAAAUUCUUCUUUUCUUUUUCUUCUGUUUUUUUAACCAAUUUCUCUCUCUUUCUUUUUUAUAUUUCUCAAAUUUAAUAAUAAAAAAAAUCAAUAAAAAACUGAUUUGACUUUCAGCGUUAAGGAUGCUCUAAGUUCAUUGACUUGUAUAUGUACCAAGCAAAAGAUGAUAAGGGGUCCACCGUAACGAUCCAAUUACAAUUAAUUUCAACCCAAGUUUUUGUGUCAGCUACUGUUUCUUUGGCUUUGUCAUUUUCCGUGGCUCUUUCCUCCAUCUUGAUGAUAUUUUGGGAAUAUGCACUUAAUGGUCAAGAGAGACUUGUGAAUAUGCAAAUGUUUUUGUGGAAUAAAAGACUUUUGAAAACUUGUUGAAAUUUCUCUCCUAAAGGGAAAGACUUGUGAAUAUGCAAAUGUUUUUGUGGAAUUAAAGACUUUUGAAAACUUGUUGAAUUUUCUUUACUAAAGGGAAAGAUCACUUGUGAAUAUGCAAAUGUUUUUUUUGUAGAAUUAACCCUUGUUUAUAACCUAUUCUGAUAAAAAUGAAAAAGUUAGUUAGUGAUUUUAGUUUUUACUUACGACUUCUAAAGUUGGUGGAUCGAAGUGAGGAUUUUUAUUUUAUUUUUAAAGGUUCAUCAACAAAAAUAAAACUGUAUGAUUUAGUUUGUUGUGUUUUUUUUUUAAUUUUUGUAUUGGGGCUUAUUUGCAAAAUAGUUACAUAUAUUGAAGUAUGAUAUAGAAGACGAAACAGAAGAAAGCUCUUCCCUCGAUCUUAAAAUCGGGCUCAGUGAGGAGUUUCCAGAACGAUACUGAGAAGAAAUCUUGGACAUGGUUGAAAGGGAUGAGAACCACCCAAGUAGGCCAUGACGUGUUUAUUGAUUUCCCAGGUAUAAUUCACUAUUCAAUUGGGUACCUUUUCAAACCCUUUCUAUGGGCAGGUAGCAGAUGGCCACACAGUUCUAUGAUGGACCAGGAGAUAUAAGUCUACGUAUACGAUAUGAUAUAUACGAUUGGCAAAAAAAGAUGGAAAUAAGUGAAAGUCUAUCUAAAACAAAACAAAAAACCUCUCAGGUUCGAGCAUAUGUAAUCACUAAUCACUUAUCAUUUUAUGUAAUUAACAUGCGAUAAUCAAUGAACAUAUGACAUAUUUAACACAAAUGCAGUUUCCUCUUAUGGUUUUUGGUAUUAUAUAUCACGCGUGCAUGUUAUCGCAUGCAUGUUAUAUUGAAUUUCCAGAUUUUUUCAUGGUGAGCACUGAGCAGGUCGGAUAUGAGAUUCAUCUCGAUUUAAAACAUUCUGGCACUGUUGCAUUGGCCACUGGUGGAGAAAAUCUCGAUGCUUCCCAAGUAUCCCAAAUCAUUUUACUUGAAUUAAUUACCAAGUUUAUGAUGGUAUAUCUUGUUAGAAUAACUAUCAGUGUGUUGUGGAUCAAAUUUUGUGAUGUGGUAUGUCCUCAUGUGACUUGUCUGUUUUCUUACUUUUUUCUUUUUUCUUUUUUUUUUUUACUAGGAUAAAUGAAGCUUAUGUUAAUUAUGAGAAAAACAGACCAUUUAAGAACAUUAGAAUCAAGCACACUUAUAUUCUUGAAGAGAUCCGUUUGAUGAUCCCCCCAAAAUUGGCUGAGAUGAUACCGCAUUCCAAUAGAUGGCAUAAGCUCUUCCACGGUGCACAUGACAUAUUGACAUGUACCUGUUCUCCUCUGCAAUGAGAUGUAACCAGCAGUAAUUUAGAUGAGUAUUUAAGUUUAACUAACCUAACAAGAUACAAAGUCAUAUUCAUAACAUGCUUUUAAACCCAUAAAUCUCAGACACUAUCUUAUACGAAGUGAAGCACUAGAACAUUUCAAAAAUGGGUAUUUUACUUCUUCCAUAACACAGGCCCAACCGAAGACCUAUAACCCAACCACCAAACUAAACCCUUUAAGAAAUCUUACUUUUCUCUAUACUAAAUUGCUGAUCGUAACCAAAAAGAUAAACCCUUUUACCCACCGUUACUUUCAAACAUAUAGCCCAUGACAUACACGCAUAUACAUAACAUAUACAUGGUAUGCACAAUUAUAAUCUGUUUUAUAUAAUACAUAGAGCGGCUUGGUGUUGUAAUACCAACUUUUAUAUCUAGAUGAUAAUGAUGUCUUCCUGAGACUCGUCGAGAGCGAAACAAGUCUCAUCACCGCCGGUGUUCCACAAUUAAGAAAUUAGCAGCGUAGUUCCCAUAUUGAUGCAAAAUGUAGAUUUAUUUAACGUGGUGACAGAAAAUGUAGCCAGUUUUAUUACAUUUCAUAUGUAAUCUCUUUCGCUAUGAAAGAUUAGUGUGACAAAUCUUUGUAUAAUCCCACAUAUCCAAAAUAUAUGUAGCUUACCUCUAUAAGAUAUCCUUAACAAAACAAAACACAAAAUCGUUUCCUAAAAGAAGCAUGAAUAAUUAAAUUGUAGCUAUGAAAAGGCAUCAAGAAAAACAGGAAUAGUUUUUAUUUUAUUUUCUUGUAAGAUAACUUGUAUUAACUUAUCAAAGAAAAAAUUGUUAUAUAAUCUAAAAAUUGCAUAGGAUGGUUUCUAACAUUGUCCGCAGACACAUUCAUGAUUGAUACAUUUUAGAGAUUUGCAAGAUUGGAAACAACUGUUUCGGCAAUCGGCAUCUUUAAAGCAACUUCCAAAAUAUUGAUAUUGAUGCAUCGACGUCCGUGGACAUGCUCCAACACACUCCACAUCUCGUGGAUGUUUCAUCACCUCCCUUGCAUUUGAUAUCCACACACCUAUUUAUAUAUAUACAUUCAAUCAUAUAACAAAUAAUCACUCAAUUCAAAUAUAAAAGAAGCAUAAGAGAGAGAGACUAACAUGAGAGAAGGAGUGCGGCGAGAAGAAUCAUCAAUGUUGCCUUUGAUGAUGCCAUGUAUUUUCGAGUUUUUAAGUCGAUCUAUAUGUUUUAUGAUUAUGUUUUGAGAUUCUCAUAUGAUUUUGGUGUCUAUUUAUAUUGUGUUAUAUAUGAUCCUUAAAAAAUGGUAAAUAAUUAAGUUUUUGGUUCUAGUGACCAAUCGAGCAAGCAAUAAUCAUAUAUAGUAAGGUUUCACUCUCUCCCCUAUUGGCCAUGACAUUUUUGUUUUAAUAUAUUAUCUCAAAUUCUCCAUUAAAUUACACAAUUAAAUUGUUUGAAUUAAUAACAAUAACAUAUCUGUAACAUUUAUGACAUUUUAUGUAAAAAAACAUCAAUUGUAUAAAAAUGUAUAAAAGAACUGGAAUAUAUAAAAGAUAGAUGUAAAUAAAUCUGUGGUAUUUUUCUCUUACCCAAUAUAUAUAUAUAUAUAUAUAUAUAUAUAUAUAUAUAAUACCUUCAUUUUCUCUUUAUUAGUCUAAUUGGCCUAUUUGAACAAAAUACUCUUCCAUUUUUAAUACAGCAAAAUACAUAUGUAGAUACAUUAUUAAAUAUAUUUAAAAAAAAUAUUUUGCUAUCCAUCAAUAUAAUUUGCAAUUCACUAUUAAAUAUAAUUUAAUCAUAAAUCCCCCAAUCAAUAUAAUUACACAAACUUAAAUAUCUACUCUAUUAUGUAUUUUGUAACGUAUAGAGUAUUUAUGUUAAAAAAAAAAGGAAUUGCUAAAAAUAGGCCACAAUUUGAAUGCAAAUGCAAAAGUAUACCCCAAAUUCAACCUAUUGCAAAAAUAGGUCAAAGGGGUAGAGAAAUUACUAUUAUCUCCUACAUGAGUAAACAAAAAAACGGAAGGCUCUAUUACGAUUUUAACCCUGCGAAGUCUGCAAAUAUUAAUGAAGUCUGCAGAGCAGACUUAUAAAGAAGUCUACUAUAUUAUUAAAUCUUAUAUUUAAAUUUUAAAAUUAUAUAAAAAUAAUUUAAACUGAAAUUUGUUUCUAUAAAUCAAAUAUCAACAAGUAUGAUCUAUAUAAAUUAUAAUUUAAUAAAAAUGAAUCAUUUUAAACCAUCUAAGAUAAACAUCAAAAGUGAAUAAUUCUAAAUUGGGGUUGUAGACUUCUUUAUAAGUCUGCUCAAACCGUAAACGAAAUUAAAAUAAAAUAUUGAUUUAAACCGGAAAUAAUUAACCUAACUAGAUAUAACCGGAUAUUUUUGCCCUAUUAUAUAAAUGAGAUUUUACCCUAAAUCAGAAACUCUCCACUUUGAUCCCUCUCUCCAAAAACGGCGCUGCAUUUUUUUGUUGCUGUAAUCCUCUUUCUUUCUUGCUGCUCUUCAUUUUUGCUAUGUUCUUCGUUCACUUAUCAAAAUUUCUCCGAUUACAGAAGAUGGAGUGUGUAAUUCCACUGUGGCGGUGCUUCUGUCUCAGUCCACCGGGGCUACGCCACCGCAUCGUUAACCACAGUCGCCGCCAUCUCCAUCUCACAUUCUCCUCCUCCUUCGUAGCAGGUCGCUCACCUUCAUUUCCUCUUUUAUUAGUUGUUUUUUUAAUCAAUUUUAGCUAUUAUAGCCUUACACGCUCUUUGGUCCCAUUCCAGGGACAUGGCCUCUCCCUGAUAAGAAGAAUCGAUUUCUUGCUCCAGACGCGCAGAGGACUUCCUUGAAUCGCCGUACGGGCUCACUCGAGCACCUUCCUCUUUCUCUGGUUAGUUCUGGGAAAUUUCGGUUUUCUGAUUUCAUAUAAAUCUGGAAUUGAUUAGGUCAAAUGAGUUCUUGUGUUGUUUGCUUUUAUUGAUUUAGUCUUCAUUUGUAUGCGACUCAUGAUGCUCGUAUGGUGUCAAAGGUUUUUUGGAUAAGGUUGCACUGGUUUCUAAGCUGCUUGUAUGUCCUCGUAUUGUCAUUGUUUCUGUAUUGUUCAGAACUCGUAUGUGAUUGGUAACUCAGAGGAAGAACUCGAAGAAGAAGAAGAAGAAGAGGAUGAUUUGGAUUGGGAGUCAGAAUUUCUUGGGGAGAUUGAUCCGUUGGAAAUCCAACCUCCAAAGAAGAGGAAAAAGCAGGCAAAGUCGAAAGCUCUUGAAAACAAAAAGCGGCCGUCGUUGAAGACUUGAAAUCAAAUUCUUUAAAAAUUCUUUUUUUUUUCUUCGUUUAAGACUUGAAAUCAAUAUAUGUAUGCCAGAUCUAUAAGAUUUAGGUGUGAAUAAUAAGAAUAAUGCAAAAAACUGACUGAUUAUGUGAAAAAAUUGGCUUGCGGCCACGAAAAAGAGUUGCAGAACUCGAAAAACCUAGAUAGAAGACGAAAGUUUUUUUACAAUUAUGCCCUUUUUAAAAACAAAAAGAAUAACCAAAAUUGGAAGCAUAAUGGUUCGAACCCACGUACUUUGGGCAACAAGUGGGUCUGUUUCCACCAGACCACAAGAGUUUGUUAACAUUGUACGCGUUAAUAAAGUAAUUUAUAUAAUAUCAAGACCGUUAACAAAAGUGGCCAAUAGUUAAAGUUGAGGACAAACCAUGACAGGUAAAUGCAAGAAUAACUGAUUUUUCAAACUUAUACAAAUGCAAGAACAAUAACAAAUAAAAAUAAUUGAAAGGAAGUAGACUUCUAAACUUCUUUAGAAGUCUGCAAAAAUAGAUAAAUCAAACAAGAAAAUUCAUUACUUUGUAAUUAUAACACAUAACAACGUCAAACUCAUAUAGAUGCAACAUAAAAAACAAAUAAACAUGUCAAGACAAAAAAAUCAUUUUUACAAGUAACAAAUAUUUCAAAAAUGAAUUUAAAAAAAAAAUAAUUAGGCAGACUUCUUAUGCAGUCUGCUAUGAUAUGCUAAUACGUAACAGCAGACUUUAUCUACAGACUUCUUUUAGAAGUCUGCUUAGAUGUGCUAAUUACCUUUUAAAUCAAGAAAAUUCAUAACUUUAUAUUUAUAACACAUAAACACAUCAAACUCAUACAGGUGCAAGAAUCAUACCUAAAAUGCAUUUACAAUUUUAAAAAAUUUAAAAAAACAUUACAAAUAUUUUAUAAAAUUGCAUUUUAAAAAUUUUAAAAAAUGCAGACAUCCGUUCAAAGUCCGCUGGGAAAAUUUCACGUUGAAGUCUUCUAGAAAAAAAAGUUAUUUUUGCAUUUGACCAAAUAUUUGACUUUUCGUAGUAGACUUCUUCUUGCAGUCUGCGAGAAGAAAAAGUUAUUUUUGCAAUUGACCAAAAGUUUGACUUUUAGAGCAGACUUCUUUAGAACCCAAAACCCAAAACCAGAUCGAAUUAUAUAUGAGGAAGAGAACUAAACAGACAGUCAUAAAUAUAUGGAUGGUUAAAACUUGUUGAAGUUGAAAUCCUUGAUUGAAUCUUCAACAAGAAGAAAAAGCAAAUAUUGGUGAAAAGGAAAAGAAAGAAGAAAAGCAAGCAAGCUCAAGAAGAACAACAGAUUGUCGUCGAAGAAGAAGAAGCUGGUCAAUGAUCGAUUGUGUGUGUGUAAGGAAACUCCGAUUCGAUCCGCCCCCUGGCUGGGAGGCAUUUACCUCAUGCUUCCGCCUUUUGGAAGUGUCUGCCUAGAGAAGGAUUUUCCGCUAAGCAGCAGUUCUUCCAUACCAACUUAGCUUCCCGGCGCUGCUAAUUCUAGCAUUACUCGCAAGAGUGAGUUCAUCGUUCCAUUUGACUUCUUGUACUUGUUCAGCAAUCGGAAAUCAUAGAGAAGCCUAAGUCAGAGUUGUUGUAAUAGCUAAAUGGUAGUUGUUAAAGUAUUAAGAUAAGUAGCUGGAAGUCUAAGUGAGUGUAGUGUGGCUUGUGUAUGAUAGCCUAGGUAUUAGAGUUAAGGUGUCUGAAUGAUGGAAGUUAAGAAGUAGUAGUUAGAGAAAACUACUAUAUAUGUGUGUUGUGUUUUGUAAAAAAAAGCAUCGAUUGGAUCAAUAUCAAAAUGUAGUCUUUAAAGCUUUUUCUCUCUAAGUUUCAUCUUGUUAUCACUUAGAAAAACCAAACACCAAACAAAGAGUGAAACAGAGUACUAGAGAGAUUGAGAGUGUGAGAGAGAGAAAGUAAGGAGAAACAAAAGAAAAGAGUAAAGAGAGAAAGAGAGAAAGAAAACAAACCUGAGUGAGAGAAAGAAAGAAUGUGAGAAUGUCAACAAAACUAAAUGAGAACAAAAUCCCGAAUGGAUAUCUGAAAUACUCAAAAAUAUAAAUAUAUAUGCAAAAAUAUUAGCUAUAAUUAAAUUUGAAAUAACAGUAAUAUCCAAAAUUACAAUUAUAAACCUGAAAUCAAAAGUUCAUCACAUUGACAUCAACCUAUAAAUAAAAAACAAAAUCACAUGCAGCAUAGCGCAGGAAAUAACUUAGUAGAAAUAAAAGGAAAAUAGAUAUCACACUAAUUUCAGUAUUAGCAUGAAAUAAAAAUAUGUUUUAAAAAGUAAUUUAGAAGAAUAAAAUGCAGAGAAAAAAUGCAUGGUAGCCAACGCAUUAUUGUUUGACUUAGAAACAAAAUAAAAAAUCUUCGUCAACGGUAUCACACUAAUCUCAAUAUUAAAAACAAGUUUUAAAUUAAAUUCAUUUAAAUAUAUAUAACUUCAAUAUUAAAUUUAGACUAAAUACUUAUUAUUGAUCAAUCUGAAUUUUUGUUUCAUAUAGAAGUAUAUCUUUAGAAAAUAGUAAGUUAUUAAUAUUACAUUUAAAAUAAUCAUAAUAUUUAUUUCAAAUUGUUUCUGUUUUAACAUAAUUCUAUUCAACUUAUUUUUUUAGAGUUUUCUACCAAAUAUUAAUUUAAAAUAUAAGAUUUCAUUUAAUUUUCAAUCUACUAGGUACUAUCCAAGAAGGAGCUAUACGCUCCAUACUGGAUACUCCAGCGGUUGUAGGUUAAAUCUAAGCUUGUUUGAUUUUUCGUUUCAGUAGAUCAAGAUACAUCACAUACACAAGUGAAUGAAUUUCACCAGUUGCUCUUUUGGCUGUUGAUGGUAUUUAUAUCGUGUAUAUUUUGUUUGACAUUUGACUUAAAACUAAGGGUUCAAUUUGUUGUAACACCAUUUUAUGUCUAGAUGGUAUUCCCUAGAGGCUUGAGAGAGGAAAACAUGCAUGUCUCAUUGUCGCUAAUGUUCCACAAAAACAAAUAACACUAGAAAAUAGAAAUGUACAAUUAAUUAAAUAAAUAUUGCCAUAUGACUUAAAUAGUUGAAUGACUAAUAAAUGAAGUUUGGACCCAAAAUAUGUUGAAGUUGCGUUAUUUUUUUUCUAAAGCUGAAAUUUAUUAGGAAAAUCAAAAUACCAAAAAUUUUAUAACACCAAAAAAAAAAUUGGUCAAUAGGAAUCCGCAAUAAAUAACGACAUUUUUUAAACAAAUGUAUGAUUAAAGAUUUUGCAGUUGAAUGCUUUACUUUGUUUUUAAACAGAAAUUUUAUUUAUUUAUUUAUUUAUUUUAUUUUAAGAUAACUUGUUUUAAUUUAUCAAAGAAAAAAUUAUUAUAACCUAAAAAAUGCAUAGCAUGGUUUCUAACAUUGUUGGCAGUCACAUUCAUGAUUUGAACAUUUUAGGAAUUUGCAAGAUUGGAAACAACUGUUUCGGCAAUCGUCAUCUUUAAAGCAACUUCCAAAAUAUUGAUAUUGAUGCAUCGUCGUCGGUGGACAUGCUCCAACACACUCCACAUCUCGUGGAUGUUUCAUCAUCUCCCUUGCAUUUGAUAUCCAUACACCUAUUUACAUAUAUACAUUCAAUCAUAUAACAAAUAAUCACUCAAUUCAAAUAUAAAAGAAGCAUGAGAGAGAGAGAGACUAACAUGAGAGAAGGAGUGCGACGAGAAGUAUCAUCAAUGUUGUCUUUGAUGAUGCCAUGUAUUUUCAAGUUUUUAAGUCGAUCUAUGUGUUUUAUGAUUGUGUUUUGAGAUUCUCAUAUGAUCUUAGUGUCUAUUUAUAUUGUGUUAUAUGUGAUCUUUAAAAAAUGGUAAGUAGUUUUUGGUUCCAGUGACCAAUCUAGCAAGCAAUAAUCAUAUAUAAGAAGUAAGGUUUCACUUUUUCUUUUUUGGGCCACUUGACAUUUUUGUUUUAGUAUAUUAUCUCAAAUUAAUAACAAUAACAUAUCUGUAAUAUUUAUGACAUUUUAUGUAAAAAAAACAUCAAUUGUAUAAAAAUAUUUAAAAGAACUGAACUAUAUAGAAGAUAGAUGUAAAUAAAUCUGUGGUAUUUUUCUCUUAAGCAAUAAAUAUAUAUAUAUAAUUAUAUAUAUAUAUUAUCUUCAUUUUCUCUUUAUUAGUCUAAUUGGCAUAUUUGAACAAAAUACUCUUCCAUUUUUAAUACAGAAAAUACAUAUGUAGAUACAUUAUUAAAUAUAAUAUAAACAAAAUAUUUUGCUAUCCAUCAAUAUAAUUUGCAAUUCACUAUUAAAUAUAAUUUUAAUUAUAAAUCCCCCAAUCAAUAUAAUUACACAAACUUAAAUAUCUACUCCAUUAUGUAUUUUAUGUAGAGCUGUAUAGUAAUUGCACAAUCUGCCUAGAGAAACUUUGGAAAUUAAGCCGUGAAAAUUAUGUACUGUGCUAUGGUUCUGUUCACAAUAAAAAGACAAUUGAACCCCUAUAUUAAGUUUAUUAAGUUUGCUGUAAAAAUGAGCUAAAAAAAAAAAAUAGGUCCCUCAGUCAGAUAGCAUGUGCCAGUAAUCCCGACAACAGUAUCCAAGUUUUAAAGAUUUUUGAUUUAAAUAUUUUUAUAAUUAUUUUGGAAGGAAGAAAAAAGAAGAAGAGACCAGAGUUUGUGUUUAAAACCGAUAUUUGUUAUCGGUUAUCUCUCCAACUCAAAAACCGUCUUCAAAUUUUGUUAUCGCCAGCGUUCACUAAUCUAGUGCAUGUUAUCGUUUUUGUUGAAGAAAUUCAUGGUAAAGAUGAGUUCUGUUUUCAAUUUCCCGAGUUAUUUUUUGGGUUAGUGGCAUUUGAUUUGCAGAUGUUAGAUAAUGAGUUACAAAGAAGAUUAUAGUCGUCGGAGCUGAACCUUGGGGCCAGGGGGUUAUUACAUAUAAGAAUUUAGCAUUAUACAAGAUCUUAUAUCCGCUUUGGAAGAAUAUGAGGUCAGUUUCAUCCGUUAAUCGCCUUUUGGUAAAUUGAUCGACAUUCCAUCUAUGCCGGCGUGGUCUGGAAUUUUUGGGUUGUUCUUAUUGUCUUGACAACUAGAAGUGAAGAGAAAGAAUGAAAUAUGGAUCUGAUUUGUUAGUUAUCCCAUCAGAUUCUCUUUUUGCAAGUUCAAGAUAGUUACCUGUUUAAACUGCGGGAGAUUUCCGGUGAACAUGACGAAUAAGAGGAAAUCUGUCAACUAUCCUAUGGACAAAAGACUAUUCGACCACAAAGAAAAUAAAUACUGUUAUGUGAUUACCUGAUAACCGAAGCAACUACUAAAACUUUAUAGAGCUGUGACAGUGUAUUGCUUAUAGCAUGAUUAGUUAGCUUUGUUUAGCUGAUAACCGAGUUAAUUGAUAACGGAUUUGUAACACAUAUGUAGCAAUCACCAAUGGGCCCAAUGUAUUGAUUCUCACUCUUCCAAACCGCAUCUGCACUCGACAUAACUGGACUAUUAGAGCUUAUAUUCGUCACUAACCAGAUAACCAUAUUAUCUGUCAACAAAAUAAGAGAUUUUUUUGUCAAAACAACAUACAAUAUUAUCUGUUUAACACAAAUAAUAGAAUGGAUUUUAGGACAGCGGGCUCUAAUUCAUGUCACUUAGACCCAAUUAUACUCACUAAUCCAAUCGUUCCACAUUAUGGUAUAUGUUGGUAGAGGUUGACUCUGUAAUAGAUUUACCUUAUAACAAACAAAAAUAUAUGAGACAACAAUAUAUAGCCGAUAACUCAAUUAACACAUAACUAACAUACACGUUAACUCCACUUGAUUGUAUGCUAACUUAUUCCUAUUUUACAUUCAACAAUACUACUACAGCUCACCUCCCCGUUGUCUUCACCCCUCCGAGUUGGUGACAAGCCUGAACUCCACAUGUUACCUGUUAAAUCAGCAUUAUAUGAGUCAUCCUCAAAUACCACAACAACUUCACAUAAUAAAACAACAAAAGCUAUUACCUUCUAUUGCUGAAGUAUGUUUUCCAUAUUCAAUCUUCCAAGUCGCAUCUGCACUCGACAUAACUGGACUAUUAGAGCUUAUAUUCGUCAUUAACCGGACAACCAUAUUAUCUGUCAACAAAAUAAGAGUUUUUUGUCAAAACAAUAUAUUAUCUGUUUAACAAAAAUAAUAGAAUGGAUUUUAGGACAGCGGACUCUAAGUCGUGUCACUUAGACCCAACUAUACUCACUAACCCAAUCAUUCCACAUUAUGGUAUAUGUUGGUAGAGGUUAACUCUGUAAUAGAUUUACCUGAUAACAAACAAAAAUAUAUCAGAUAACUCAAUUAACUCAUAACUAACAUAAACGUUAACUCCACUUGAUUGAAUGCUAACUUAUUCCUGUUUCACAUUCAACAACACUACUACAGUUCACCUUCCCGUUGGUCUUCGCCCCUCCGAGUUGGUGACAAGUCUGAACUCCACAUGUUAUCUGUUAAAUCAGCAUUAUAUGAGUCAUCCUCUAAUACCACAACAACUUCACCCAAUAAAACAACAAAAACUAUUGCUGAAGUAUGUUUCCCAUAUUCACUCUGAGAUUAAUGCAUCAGUUUUUUGGUUGGAACUACCUCCACACUCAAGUCUCUUUGAUCCAAAUUUUACAGAUAAUCUAAUCGGAUAUCUUUUACGUUAACUGAGAUAAAAUUUUUUACAGAUAAUCCAAUCGGAUUUUUUCUUUAUUAACGAACGGAUGAGAAUAAGAGGUAGGGCGUUACAGGAUCUUUCUGUGAUACCAAUUGUAUUUUUUUAGUUUAUGUCCCCUCAAACGGUAAGAACAUUUAAUGCUGAUGUAGACGCUAUCUUUGUUUGACGUAGGGGCACUUUUGGACACAAUGCAUUUAGUCAAUUGUAUUUACUUUAUUUCUAAACUAUGGUUGGUACUUACUCAAUUAAUUUAUUAUCCAUGGGUAGUUCACCGCUUAGCUCUAUGUUAUAUUGGGAAUUCUUAGUAGAUAAGAUAUAAUUCUCUGACAGUGUAAAUUAUUAGUAGAUCUUAACCAUCUAAAUUCCUCCUAGGCUCGGCUCAAUUGCAUAAAAUGUUUGAUUAUUCUAUUUGUAAGCGUGAUUUUGAUGUUAGUAGAUUACAAGUUUAAAUCAUAGCCAAAAAAUUUAAAUAGUCAUUCUGUUUUUGAUUUUGUCUAAAAAUACACAUUAACAAUACCAGUUCAUGAUGUAUUCAUGUCCAGCUGCUUCUCAUCUCCUCGAAACCUUUUCUAGGAGCUUAAUUUUUGCACUAUGGAGUAGCAAGGAGAAACCAGACACACAUUCUAUAUCUAAGAAAGUAAAUCAUAGACUAUUUUUCCUUGCAUUUCAAUACAUGUUUCCGUAGUAUUCAGACCUUGAUUCUAUAUACUUUGUCAAUUCUUAUCUAGCUAACAAUUAAUGUAAAUGUUUUCAGAGAUCAUAAAGUCAUUCUACACCGUCUCUUACUCAAAGCUUAUUUUUGCUAUAAGAAAUACAGUUUUAAAAAUGACCAAUUUUAACUAUGCAAUUUUUUUCUUUCCAAAAUACAACUUUAAUUCCUUCUUUGAAGAUCUCUUAUGCACUGUUUUUUCCUUUCUAUUUUAUUUUAGCUGUUGAGCUUUGAAGAAAAAUGUAAGAAAUACUCUUUGAAAAUCUCUUAUGUACAGUAAUGAAAAAUACUUUUCAUACUUCAUGCUAUAUAUUUUCGACAAGCUACCAUGAAGUGGGAUGUGCAGCAUAUUUAUAUUAUUAUCCCAACUUAGUUAAUUUGAUUUUAGACAAUGUUUUUAUCGGAGUGCUUUUCGAUAUGUUAGCCAAUAUUAACUUAUGUCUCUACAAAACUAUUAUGUAUCAUGCAUGAACAAAAUAAUAAAAAAAAAAUAGUAAGCAUGGAGCUACCCUGGCCAAACUACUCGGGCAUGAAGAAACUCACCAAAACCAGAUCGAAUUGUAUAUGAGGAAGAGAACUAAUCAGACAGUCGUAAAAAUAUAGAUGGUUAAAAUUAAAUGGGAACCAAAUCCCGAAUGGAUAUCUGAAAUACUCAAAAAUACAAAUAUAUAUAUGUAAAAAUAUUAGGUAUAAUUAAAUUUGAAAUAACAGUAAUAUCCAAAAUUACAAUUAUAAACCCUGAACUCAAAAGUUCAUCACAUUGACAUUAACCUAUAAAUAAAUAAAAAACAAAAUCACCUACAGCUUAGCGCAGAAAAUAACCUAGUAGAAAUAAAAGGAAAAUAGAUAUCACACUAAUUUCAGUAUUAGCAUGAAAUAAAAAUAUGUUUUAAAAAGUAAUAUAGAAGAAUAAAAUACAGAGAAAAAAUGCAUGGUAGCCAGCACAUUAUUGUUUGAUUUAGAAACAAAAUAAAAAAUCUUUGUCAACGGUGUCACACUAAUCUCAAUAUUAAAAACAAAUUUUAAAUAAAAUUCAUUUAAAGAAUAUAUAACUUCAAUAUUAAAUUUAGACUAAAUACUUAUUAUUGAUCAAUCUGAAUUUUUGUUUCAUAUAGAGGUAUAUCUUUAGAAAAAAGUAAGUUAUCAAUAUUACUUUUAAAAUAAUCAUAAUAUUUAUUUCAAAUUGUUUCUGUUUUAACAUAAUUCUAUUCAACUUAUUUUUUUAGAGUUUUCUACCAAAUAUUAAUUUAAAAUACAAGAUUUCAUUUAAUUUUCAAUCUACUAAGUACUAUCCAAGAAGGAGCCAUACGCUCCAUACUGGAUACUUGUUUGAUUUUCCGUUUCAGUAGAUCAAGAUACACCACAUACACAAGUGAAUGAAUUUCACCAGUUGCUCUUUUGGCUGUUGAUGGUAUUUAUAUCGUGUAUAUUGUGUUUGACAUUUGACUUAAAACUAAGGGUUCAAUUUGUUGUAACACCAUUUUAUGUCUAGAUGGUAUUCUCUAGAGGCUUGAGAGAGGAAAACAUGCAUGUCUCAUUGUCGCUAAUGUUCCACAAAAACAAAUAACACUAGAAAAUAGAAAUGCACAAUUAAUUAAAUAAAUAUUGCCAUAUGACUUAAAUAGUUGAAUGACUAAUAAAUGAAGUUUGGACCCAAAAUAUGUUGAAGUUGCGUUAUUUUUUUCUAAAGCUGAAUGAUAUUUUAUUAGAAAAAUCAAAAUACUGAAAAGUUUAUAACACCCAAAAAAAAAUCGUCAAUAGGAUCCGUAAAUAAUGACAUUUUUUUAACAAAUGUAUGGUUAAAGAUUUUGCAGUUGAAUGCUUUACUUUGUUUUUAGACUGUUUAAAUCUCCACUAAAAUGAUCUUUAUAGAAACAAAUGUGCUUAAUCAAAGUUGCGUUACUAUUGUAGUGUUUUGGUAGUUACCUAUGUGCAAACCAAUAGAACAAAUGUGUUGAAUAUACCAAAAGUCGACAAAAAAAACAGAAUAUACCCAAAAAAAACAAUAGAGGACACUUUCUACCACACAUAGGUGAAACUGAAGACCCAUAACUACAGGCGGUGGGAUCUGCUCCAAUCUCACGUGCUCUAUCUAACUCAGUCACAUGCACAACAACUACCAUACCAAACCAGAACCCGAAGAUACUCUCUUCCUUUCACUAAACUGAUCGUAACCAUAAGGAUUAACACUUUUUACCCACAGUUCUUUAGUGACAUAUAUAGGCCAUAACAAACAUGCAUAAAUACAUACAAGGUAUGCACAUAUUUAUAUGUAUAUAUUCAUUAGUCGUAUAGAAUGUUUAUUUAGAGAGACUUUUGAUGUUGGACAGUCUUAUCUAGAUGGUGUUGUCUUCCUGAGACUCGUCGAGAGGGAAACACGUCUCGUCACCGCCGGUGUUCCACAAGAAAUUAGCGUAAUUAGCGGCGUAGAAAGAGUUGGUCGGAUCGGCAUCGAUUGCUUCCAAGAAAGUCUCCUCAGC
rnacentral:lncRNA from 1 species